UACGGGGGGGGCAAGCGUUGUUCGGAAUUACUGGGCGUAAAGGGCUCGUAGGCGGCCAACUAAGUCCGACGUGAAAUCCCCAGGCUUAACCUGGGAACUGCGUCGGAUACUGGAUGGCUUGAAUUCGGGAGAGGGAUGCAGAAUUCCAGGUGUAGCGGUGAAAUGCGCAGAUAUCAGGAGGAACACCGAUGGCGAAGGCAGCUCGCUGGGACGGUACUGACGCUGAGACGCGAAAGCGUGGGGGAGCAAACAGG
rnacentral:rRNA from 1 species